UUCACUAAAAACUCAAAAUUACUUUCAGAAAAUAAUGGCUAUCACUAAUCAUUUGAUUUUCUUCACUUUGCUUGUUUUUAUCAUCUUCCCUUCUUAUGAAUGUGUUGUCAAAGGAAAUAGCAGCUUGAGUCCUAUGGGUGAGAAAACAAAUACACUUGUGGCAUGUACAGUAAAUCUUGGUCUAUGUGAGCCAAGAUGCAAUAAAAAAUGUUGCUAUAAGACAUGUAGAGAGUUCUAUGCUCAUAAAGCCCCUCAGCCAGCUUGUAAGGAUAUGGGUGGGCCACUUAAAACUUGCCUUUGUACUUAUUAUUGUGAAGAAUCUUGUCCGUGUUAAAUACGGGAUCAAUAUACAGUCGUAUUAAAGAUCUAAUAUUUAUAAAAAUUGAAAAUGA